GGGGUGCCCGUCGUUACUCGGUGGCGUGUGGUGGCAAGUUGGCUUGUGUAGCCACUUCUCCGACGAGUGUGUUUUAAUUAAGUCAGCUUGAGUGGUCCAUAUUCACUGGCAAGGCUGUUGUAGCGAGCUCUGACGCUGGGUGCUCGGUGGGAAUCAGCUGGAGCCGUAGCCAAGCCUCUCAUAAGCUCAAUUCAUGACCUGCGGUCCCAGAGAGGGGAUUCAUCGCCACUUGUCGUGUGGGAAGUGGAUUACAGCCAAGUGCCUCCACGCCUUGGAAAGGCUGCUGUUCUGUUGUGCUGUGGAUUUGUGGAUGACGUUUUCAUACGGUCGGGAUUGAACGGCGUGCCUAGUUUGGUUGGGGACUAUUUGUAGUUUACAACGCAUGGGGCUACGCAGUGGUGUAUUGCCCUCUCUAUAGCUCUACCUGCAUGCCUACGUCUGGUUGUUGUUUUCUUUGAUUUGGCGGCUAUACGGUGUGUUGUCCCGUCCUUUUGCUUGAGUUGCAUGUUUAUUCUGUGUUGUUUUCUUUGAUUUGGCUCCUAUCGCCGGCUAUACCUGGUGUGUUGUCUUUUUUUGUUUAACCUGCAUGUUUAUUUUGUUUGUUGUUUUCUUUGAUUUGGUGCAUGCGGUUAUGCAGUGCUGUACUGUUUCUCCCUAUGCUUGACUCGCAUGCUUUUUCUAACUGUUGGCCUAUUGGUAUCUUGGUGUGUGUGUGUGUGUGUUUGUGUAUGCGUACUGUAACUUAAAUUACUG